rnacentral:rRNA from 1 species
GCAUAUCAAUAAGCGGAGGAAAAGAAACCAACAGGGAUUACCUCAGUAACGGCGAGUGAAGCGGUAACAGCUCAAAUUUGAAAGCUAGCUCUUUUAGGGUUCGCAUUGUAAUUUGUAGAAGAUGCUUCGGGUGUGGCCCCGGUCUAAGUUCCUUGGAACAGGACGUCAUAGAGGGUGAGAAUCCCGUAUGUGACUGGGUGCUUUCGCUCAUGUGAAGCUCUUUCGACGAGUCGAGUUGUUUGGGAAUGCAGCUCAAAAUGGGUGGUAAAUUUCAUCUAAAGCUAAAUAUUGGCCAGAGACCGAUAGCGCACAAGUAGAGUGAUCGAAAGAUGAAAAGCACUUUGGAAAGAGAGUUAAACAGUACGUGAAAUUGUUGAAAGGGAAGCGCUUGCAACCAGACUUGCGCGCUGAUGAUCAUCCGGGCUUCUGCCCGGUGCACUCGUCUGCGCUCAGGCCAGCAUCGGUUUCGGUGGUGGGAUAAAGGCCUUGGGAAUGUAGCUCCUCUCGGGGAGUGUUAUAGCCCUCGGUGCAAUGCCGCCUACCGGGACCGAGGACCGCGCUUCGGCUAGGAUGCUGGCGUAAUGGUUGUAAGCGACCCGUCUUGAAACACGGACCAAGGAGUCUAACAUCUAUGCGAGUGUUUGGGUGUCAAACCCAUACGCGUAAUGAAAGUGAACGGAGGUGAGAACCCUUAAGGGUGCAUCAUCGACCGAUCCUGAUGUCUUCGGAUGGAUUUGAGUAAGAGCAUAGCUGUUGGGACCCGAAAGAUGGUGAACUAUGCGUGAAUAGGGUGAAGCCAGAGGAAACUCUGGUGGAGGCUCGCAGCGGUUCUGACGUGCAAAUCGAUCGUCAAAUUUGCGUAUAGGGGCGAAAGACUAAUCGAACCAUCUAGUAGCUGGUCUGC